GAGGGGGGUUCUUCCUAGUACGAGAGGACCGGAAGGAGGCGACCUCUGGUCUACCUGCUGUUCCGCCAGGAGCACCGCAGGGCAGCUAUGUCGUUGAGUGAUAAGCGCUGAAAGCAUCUAAGCGCGAAGCAUGCCCCAAGAUUAGGAAUCGUUAUCAGAUCCCUCGAAGACUACGAGGUUGAUAGGCUCCAGGUGUAAGUGCCGCAAGGCAUUCAGCCGAGGAGUACUAAUAGAUCGAGCCGUCUUGU
rnacentral:rRNA from 1 species